UUCGCAUCCUCUCUUUGUCUGGCUUGUAUUUGCCAUCCAAAACUAAUGAACUGAGCACUCAAAGGGUGGAUUGGGUAUUUCGUUUUCCAGUCCCGAUUGCCGCGUCUUCGGCGGCGGGUCAGCAGGACCUCUGAUUGCAGCUUCACCUGUUCAGGUGGUCAUUGGAACGUUUCUAGCCGACUAGAAAAAGGAGGAUAAGUAGGCACCAAGAGGUGGUCUGAAUGGAUCAUCAAGUGAUCCAGGAUGCCCACCAAACUAGAGUGCCACUCAAAGAUUCAACACCAGAUUCUUGUUUCCAAAUAAGAGCCAGCUUAAAUUCCUAGCUUUCUGCUCCUAGCUCACUCUCAAUGCUUAGCUUUCUGCUCCAGGUCGUUUUACUUCUCGGUCUUAGCUUGCUCCAAGUGUUAGGUUUUCAAUACUAGAUCCAAAUGCGCAGCUUUUUAUCCUAUCUCCAGCUUAGCUACUCUGAUGAUUUUGUAACUGGAUGAUGUUUUGUAAUAAUAUAGUUAUGAAAUUUCAUGGUCA